CAUGGGGUGGGGGUGUCCCUCAGCCUGGAUUGCAAGAGGGCGCAGGCCAGGCUGAGGGACCCAACCGGUACAGG
rnacentral:pre_miRNA from 1 species